GACGAACGCUGGCGGCGUGCUUAACACAUGCGAGUCGAACGGAAAGGCCCUGCUUUUGUGGGGUGCUCGAGUGGCGAACGGGUGAGUAACACGUGAGUAACCUGCCCUUGACUUUGGGAUAACUUCAGGAAACUGGGUCUAAUACCGGAUAGGAGCUCCUGCUGCAUGGUGGGGGUUGGAAAGUUUCGGCGGUUGGGGAUGGACUCGCGGCUUAUCAGCUUGUUGGUGGGGUAGUGGCUUACCAAGGCUUUGACGGGUAGCCGGCCUGAGAGGGUGACCGGACAAAUUGGGACGGAGCUACGGCACAGACUCCUAGGGGAGGCAGCAGUGGGGAAUAUUGCACAAUGGGCGGAAGCCUGAUGCAGCAACGCCGCGUGCGGGAUGACGGCCUUCGGGUUGUAAACCGCUUUCGCCUGUGACGAAGCGUGAGUGACGGUAAUGGGUAAAGAAGCACCGGCUAACUACGUG
rnacentral:rRNA from 1 species